CCAAAAUGAGAUGUGGAGUGAAACAGUACUAGUCCCUUUGCAUGUCACAACUCACACUUGUGACCUGUCCCUGAAAUUUCUACUACAUAGAAAUGUGAAGAAGAGGACGACCAAGGGUAGAGCUGUCAUUUAAAGCACUUAUGCAGGGGUAAAAUCGUAAUCUAUAUUGGUAUCAUAAAUGCAGCUGCAUAAUUCUAGAAGCAUCGUUCUUUCUUUCCGACUUACCUCCGUAUUUUGGAAGACUAUCUAAUAAUCAAUUUAUAGUCCGGUCCAUGACAUUGGGUUGUGCAUAUGCCAUGCAGAGCUUCAUUACACUGCUGGUGACUUCGUUCACACCAUUCAAGUUCUUCAUAUGGGGCUUAUCAUGGGAGGAAUGGCGCAUAUAGAUGAGUCGAACCUCACAAUCGAAAAGGUGUAAAAAGAGAGCAGGAAGUGAUCUCUUAGCUUUUUUGGCAGAUUGAGGAGAAAAAGGUGAAUGCAAGAUUAAAUUUCUUUCUCAAGAAGCUAACGCAGCGAAGGUGAGUUCGUCACUCGCAAUCUACUUUUGUUAAUUGUUCAGCUCGCAGUCGAUAUUCAGAUCACAUUUUCUCUAGCUUUAUAAAAAACUUAAAAAGGAAAAUGUGACUUUAAAUUGAAAUAUAGAGAUUUUGACCUGGGUGAUGAGUGUAUAUGACCUGGGAUAGCUUUCACCGGAUUUGCCUGCAAUCCUUCUUUGAGUAGAUUUUGUUAGUCAUUGACUGAAAGUGCCAUGAUUUGGGACACAACAGACCAAGAAGAGAAUACUUAUUUUUAUAUGGAUGAGACUUUGAAGCACGUUUGAAUAGUUUUAGCUUUACUUUUAUGUUAUAAUCAAACCCCCCUCCACACACACAAAAAAAAAAAAAAAAAAAAAAAGAAGAGAAAGAAUAUAAGAAAUAACUGAACUUAAUAGUUCAGUUAUCCUCAUGAGUCGUUGUGCACUUGAUAUUGGAGACAUUAAAACUGUAUAUUCUACUCUCCAAUCAAAACUGGAUGUUGAGUUAAAACAUCUUUUAGAUUUGAAAGAACUAUUUGCGCCCGGGAUGGUUGCAAGAGCCAAUUAUAUUCUCUGAGUUACUUGGAAGAAUCCAGCUGAAUUGUAGCGCCUCUGUGGAGACUACAUAGUUAUGUCAGUUAAUUCAUCAUGUAUUGUUUUCCUCUAUAUAUAUAUAUUUUUUUUUUUUCUAUAUUAUUUCUAUCUAAAACUUAUGGUUUUGGAAUCAACGGCUUACCGUGGUAGCUAAAUAUAGAUAUGAGAGGUACAACAAGAUAAUGUUAUUCCUAAUUAUUGUUUUGCUGGAGAUGGGGAUAUCAGGUUGUUUAAUGCUUGAUUUGAUCCGGCCGGGACUGUGGCACCUUUGCAUCAUGAUCGUCUACUCGCUCAGGUAUAGCCUUACUGCAAAUAACAUGUUUACAAUGAGGUAGACCUGAGCCAACUAUUUCUUAAGGUGUCUUUCCCCUCUGUAGCUUUAUUGGCAAGUUUCCCAUUGAUGUGUUACUCAUUUGGCUUUUCGUAUUCUAGAUUUGCUCGUGGCUUUAUGUUAGAUGCUUUACCCAGCUGAUUCUUUCAUCGUUCUCAAUAGUUCUGCUCGUGGCUCUGCUAAUUUUGGUGUAUGACCCCUUUUUAGAUUUUUGUUUGCAUUGCCCGACUGCUUUGCGCAUUGAUUCCUCGUCUAUGCUUUUAUAGCCAUGUUCUUUCCCUCACCGAGUUAUGUGCUUUCAAUUGUCCUCUUUUGGUUCUUCUUCUAAACCUCCUCUUGAAUGAAGUUUGAAUUUGAGACCAUGAUCUGAAACGACAUUUCUUGACUUUUACUUCUUUAUUUAUUAUUUCAAUUAUUAAAAUAUUUUCAGGAGUUGCAUAAUGUGCUUAAUUGGUUGUCAAAUGUGUAAUCAAUGCAGCGUAUGGGAUUUUAAGAUUAUAAAGGUGAUAAAUUGGUGACUGGUUUUUGAGUCAUUUUAUGUUUUAACUGGAAAAAAUUGAGGAGAAAGCCUUAUUCCCAUAUUUCCAUCAGCUUGCACCUUUGAUGUACUUGCAUACAUUAGCUCGUCUGCUAAGGCAGCAUAAAGAGACUGCAGAUGGUUGAUUUUGGUCCUUUGCUUGCUUCUGUAGCUGCUGGUGUGAAUAGGAAGAAUGCAUUAUGAUGUAUCAGUUACUUUAACUAUCAUGAUUGUAAUUUAGAGAACUUCAUCCUGCAUUUCAGUAUUGAGUAUCUUUUUUCAAUUCACAUCUCAGAGUAUCCAUUCUUACCAAAUAAAUAUUAUGGGUUCAGUGGUGUCUACCUAUUUGAAUUUGCAAGGUGUUGCAUGUCAUAUUUCAGCUACAAUUUAGCUUAUCAAUGGACAUGUUCAAUGCUCAAAUAAGAUAAUAAAAAAGUAGAAUAAAUAGUUGUGUGCCU